rnacentral:rRNA from 1 species
GACGAACGCUGGCGGCGUGCCUAACACAUGCAAGUCGUACGGGACUUUCUUGAAGCUUGCUUUAAGGAAGUUCAGUGGCGGACGGGUGAGUAACGCGUGAGUAACCUGCCUUUCAGAGGGGGAUAACGUCUGGAAACGGACGCUAAUACCGCAUAACAUUUCUUUUUCACAUGGGAGAGAAAUCAAAGGAGUAAUCCGCUGAAAGAUGGACUCGCGUCCGAUUAGCCAGUUGGUGAGGUAAAGGCCCACCAAAGCAACGAUCGGUAGCCGGACUGAGAGGUUGAACGGCCACAUUGGGACUGAGAUACGGCCCAGACUCCUACGGGAGGCAG